rnacentral:rRNA from 1 species
UGCGUAGGCGGGUAUGUAAGUCAGUGGUGAAAUCUCAGAGCUUAACUCUGAAACUGCCAUUGAUACUAUAUAUCUUGAAUAUUGUGGAGGUAAGCGGAAUAUGUCAUGUAGCGGUGAAAUGCUUAGAUAUGACAUAGAACACCCAUUGCGAAGGCAGCUUACUACACAUAUAUUGACGCUGAGGCACGAAAGCGUGGGGAUCAAACAGGAUUAGAUACCCUGGUAGUCCACGCCCUAAACGAUGAUUACUCGACAUACGCAAUACACCGUGUGUGUCUGAGCGAAAAGCAUUAAGUAAUCCACCUGGGAAGUACGACCGCAAGGUUGAA